rnacentral:tRNA from 1 species
AAACAAAAAGUGCAUAGCAUUGCACUCCCUG